UCCAGAUUUCUUCCCCCAAAAUAAGAUAUGUGCACCUCCAUUUUUGUAUAUCCUUUAAAUGCUCCUGUCUCUCAUCUUUAUAAAGUUUCAGUCAAACAAGAGAGAUUCACAACGAGCCAAAAUUGCUCUUCAAAAAUCUGAUCUUUCUGUACCUGAAGAAUCACGUGAAGAACCAGGCCAUUCAACAUUCAGAUUUCAAAUUCAAAUUUGAAAAAUUCCGCUGAAGAACCCUAACUUCUAUAUAUAAAUAUAUGCUUUGGAGCUCAUUUUUGGGACAACUUGGAGCCACCUCUACCCCCUUUAAUUCUAAGGUUCAGUAUCUGCCUUUAUCCCCUAAGACUAACUGUUAUUCUUCUAGAAAUUUUAGCUUUCUUCCUUACUUCUCCAUCUCUGUUUGUUCCUAUCAAUAUCUGGCAUUUUUUGGUGAUUGUUGCCUUUCGAGUUAGCGAAUUUAAGGCCUGAGAUAGUCCUUUGAAGAUGCCCCAAUUUCACUGCUCUAAAAAAGCGAAUCUAGACAAUACAUAAGGAGGAGUUCAAGAAGAAGACCAUCGCCUGCUGAGAUAGAGAGGAGAGUUAAUAAAGAGUUUGUUGAUUGGUUCCAAAAGCGGGUGAACGUGAAGAACAUGAGCCUUAUAUCGAAGCAUCUCAAGCACAACUAGUGUACUCUGUGGAUGAUGUUGUCAAUAAAGGGUGGAGUGUUGAUGUGCAUCUAAAGCCAAGAGAUCUGUAUAAUAUAGGAGAAGUAGUGGAAGAUGAAGUAUAUGAGCCAUACCAAGAUUAGGAAUUCAAAUAUUUCUUCAGUGAUGGUGAUGAGUAUGUACAACUAGCUACAGACCCUAUAACUGACUAUGUAGUAGAGGCAAAUGUUGCUACUAACUUAGCAGCAGAUACAUGCAUGCUUGAAUAAAAAAUUUAUUUAGUAUGUUGCUUUAUAUAAAGGUAAUAGUACUGCAUAACUAAGUAAGGUUUAUUUCAAGUAUUGGUGUAUAGGUAUGUUUAGAAAUAAUAUUCAUAUUUGGU